AAACUACAAAGGAAUUGACGGGACCGCACAAGCGGUGGAUGAUGUGGUUUAAUUCGAUGCAACGACGAAAACCUUACCCACCUUUGACAUGGCAGGAAUCCCGAAGAGAUUUGGAGUGCUCGAAAGAGAACCUGCACACAGGUGCUGCAUGGCUGUCGUCAGCUCGUGUCGUGAGAUGUUGGGUUAAGUCCCGCAACGAGCGCAACCCUUGCCAUUAGUUGCUACGAAAGGGCACUCUAAUGGGACUGCCGGUGACAAACCGGAGGAAGGUGGGGAUGACGUCAAGUCCUCAUGGCCCUUAUAGGUGGGGCUACACACGUCAUACAAUGGCCGGUACAGAGGGUAGCCAACCCGCGAGGGGGAGCCAAUCCCACAAAGCCGGUCGUAGUCCGGAUCGCAGUCUGCAACUCGACUGCGUGAAGUCGGAAUCGCUAGUAAUCGCGGAUCAGCAUGUCGCGGUGAAUACGUUCCCGGGUCUU
rnacentral:rRNA from 1 species